UCACAUUGUCAAUAUGAAAUCAUUUUAUUCUUUUGUAAUAACACUGUCAUAUUUAUCAGGAUGUCACUGUGAUGUACAACUUGCCCAGUCAGAGUCAGUGGUGAUAAAGCCGGGAGGGUCUCACAAACUGUCCUGCACAGCCUCUGGCUUCACAUUCAGUAGCAACUGGAUGAAUUGGGUUAGACAGGCUCCUGGGAAAGGAUUACAAUGGGUGUCUUAUAUUAGUACUGAUGGAAGUGACACAUACUACCCUAGCUCAUUUGAAGGAAGAUUCACCAUCUCCAGAGACAAUAAUAACAACAAGUUAUAUCUGCAAAUGAACAAUCUACAAACUGAAGACACUGCCGUUUAUUACUGUUCUUCUGUGACUCAGUGA